ACCACCUGAUCCCAUUCCGAACUCAGAAGUGAAACGCAGCUGCGACGAUGGUAGUGUGGCAUUCGCCAUGCGAGAGUAGUACACCGCCAGGC
rnacentral:rRNA from 1 species